AGUGAACGCUGGCGGUAGGCCUAACACAUGCAAGUCGAACGGCAGCACAGUAAGUGCUUGCUCUUACGGGUGGCGAGUGGCGGACGGGUCACGUAUACAUCGGAAUCUACUUUUUCGUGGGGGAUAACGUAGGGAAACUUACUCUAAUACCGCAUACGACCUACGGGUGAAAGCAGGGGAUCUUCGGACCUUGCGCGAUUGAAUGAGCCGAUGUCGGAUUAGCUAGUUGGCGGGUUAAAGGCCCACCAAGGCGACGAUCCGUAGCUGGUAUGAGAGGAUGAAUAGACAGACUGGAAGAGAGAAAGGGUCGAGACACCGAGGGGAGGAAGCAGUGGGGAAUAUUGGAGAAUGGAGGAAAGCGGGAUACAGCAAAACCGGGUGAGUGAAGAAGGAGUGAGGGUUGGAAAGGGAUUAAGGUGGGAAAGAAAAGAAGCAGGUUAAUACAGCGAUGUAAUGACGGUACCCAAAGAAUAAGCACCGGCUAACUACGUG
rnacentral:rRNA from 1 species